ACGCCGCGUGAGUGAUGAAGGCUUUCGGGUCGUAAAACUCUGUUGUUAGGGAAGAACAAGUGCUAGUUGAAUAAGCUGGCACCUUGACGGUACCUAACCAGAAAGCCACGGCUAACUACGUGCCAGCAGCCGCGGUAAUACGUAGGUGGCAAGCGUUAUCCGGAAUUAUUGGGCGUAAAGCGCGCGCAGGUGGUUUCUUAAGUCUGAUGUGAAAGCCCACGGCUCAACCGUGGAGGGUCAUUGGAAACUGGGAGACUUGAGUGCAGAAGAGGAAAGUGGAAUUCCAUGUGUAGCGGUGAAAUGCGUAGAGAUAUGGAGGAACACCAGUGGCGAAGGCGACUUUCUGGUCUGUAACUGACACUGAGGCGCGAAAGCGUGGGGAGCAAACAGGAUUAGAUACCCUG
rnacentral:rRNA from 1 species